AGUCGAACGAUGACUCUCUAGCUUGCUAGAGAAGAUUAGUGGCGGACGGGUGAGUAACAUUUAGGAAUCUGCCUAGUAGUGGGGGAUAGCUCGGGGAAACUCGAAUUAAUACCGCAUACGACCUACGGGUGAAAGGGGGCGCAAGCUCUUGCUAUUAGAUGAGCCUAAAUCAGAUUAGCUAGUUGGUGGGGUAAAGGCCCACCAAGGCGACGAUCUGUAACUGGUCUGAGAGGAUGAUCAGUCACACCGGAACUGAGACACGGUCCGGACUCCUACGGGAGGCAGCAGUGGGGAAUAUUGGACAAUGGGGGCAACCCUGAUCCAGCCAUGCCGCGUGUGUGAAGAAGGCCUUUUGGUUGUAAAGCACUUUAAGCAGGGAGGAGAGGCUAAUGGUUAAUACCCAUUAGAUUAGACGUUACCUGCAGAAUAAGCACCGGCUAACUCUGUGCCAGCAGCCGCGGUAAUACAGAGGGUGCGAGCGUUAAUCGGAAUUACUGGGCGUAAAGCGAGUGUAGGUGGCUCAUUAAGUCACAUGUGAAAUCCCCGGGCUUAACCUGGGAACUGCAUGUGAUACUGGUGGUGCUAGAAUAUGUGAGAGGGAAGUAGAAUUCCAGGUGUAGCGGUGAAAUGCGUAGAGAUCUGGAGGAAUACCGAUGGCGAAGGCAGCUUCCUGGCAUAAUAUUGACACUGAGAUUCGAAAGCGUGGGUAGCAAACAGGAUUGUAGCAAACAGGAUUAGAUACCCUGGUAGUCCACGCCGUAAACGAUGUCUACUAGCCGUUGGGGUCCUUGAGACUUUAGUGGCGCAGUUAACGCGAUAAGUAGACCGCCUGGGGAGUACGGCCGCAAGGUUAAAACUCAAAUGAAUUGACGGGGGCCCGCACAAGCGGUGGAGCAUGUGGUUUAAUUCGAUGCAACGCGAAGAACCUUACCUGGUCUUGACAUAGUGAGAAUCCUGCAGAGAUGCGGGAGUGCCUUAGGGAAUUCACAUACAGGUGCUGCAUGGCUGUCGUCAGCUCGUGUCGUGAGAUGUUGGGUUAAGUCCCGCAACGAGCGCAACCCUUUUCCUUAUUUGCCAGCGGGUUAAGCCGGGAACUUUAAGGAUACUGCCAGUGACAAACUGGAGGAAGGCGGGGACGACGUCAAGUCAUCAUGGCCCUUACGACCAGGGCUACACACGUGCUACAAUGGUAGGUACAGAGGGUUGCUACACAGCGAUGUGAUGCUAAUCUCAAAAAGCCUAUCGUAGUCCGGAUUGGAGUCUGCAACUCGACUCCAUGAAGUCGGAAUCGCUAGUAAUCGCAGAUCAGAAUGCUGCGGUGAAUACGUUCCCGGGCCUUGUACACACCGCCCGUCACACCAUGGGAGUCUAUUGCACCAGAAGUAGGUAGCCUAAC
rnacentral:rRNA from 1 species